AUUUGCUUAAUGCUCUAACCGUGGCAAGCUUGGCUGGAAGGCAGGCUACACAUAGCAGGGAAGAGGGUAGACUCCAUGAGGAGAUGGGGCAGGAUCCAGGGUGUGGUAGCCGACUUAGAGCACACUUCCCUUGAAAAUAUGGGACAAAUAUUUAAUAACGAACAUUGGUCGGAGCCACAAGUGAGUAAAGAGCUAGAUGUUUCCAGGCGGUCGCGGGUCUCAGCGUUUGGGUAAUGGCAGCCCUCUGCUUCCAGAGCGUCUGUCCAAUUCGCAGCACAACUUCACAGGGCAGAGGGAUCAAAGUCCGAGAGUUGACAAGCCAGUAAAACUUAAGAAAGGCACCCGCGUCUCAGCCAACUGGGCUGGGAUCCACCACUAGGAUUUAGUUCUUGCAAGAGAGUCAGACUCCAACUCCGGGACAGAAGCAGAGAUGCUCUCUAUAAAGCCGUGGAGGGGAAAAACAGGCUCAGCCCUUGGAAACAUGAGCCUGGCUUCAACUCGACUCUUGGUCGCCGCCGUAUACCUGACUUGGUGAAGAAGAAAGGAAAGCAAACAUCUCCCAGCAGAAUGAUCGAGCGCAAAGCGUUCAAAACUUGCAAUUCUGACAGACAGUCCUCGAGGGAAGGUGGGGUUCAUGGUUUUUGAGGGGUUUUUGCCCAUCGUGAUAUGGGAAGGACAGAAGAGAAGUUCAGGUCAGGGUGGUCAAAGCUGCUGAUACUGCCACAGACCAGUGUGCAGAGUGGUCAGGACCCUGAGCUGGGGGAAUGGUCAAAGGCACACUCCUAGAGACCAACUUGUGCUCGCUGAUCCCUGCCUCUUGAAAGUUCCACAGCCUCUCAGAAUAGUGCCCCCUGCUGGGAAGGAAGAAUUCAAGACGUGAACCUGGCGGGUGGGGCUUGGGGGGUGGAUUUCAGAUUGAAACUAGAACAGAAGGCCCAGAAAAGGGAGGUCGGUGAGAGUCUGUAUUCUUAAUUCAGGACGGCUUACAAAUAUGACUAGUUAAUUUAUAAGAUGUAAACUAAUACUUAAAAAAAAAAGAAUUUAGCAAACCAGACAGGGAAUUUCAGGACGGCAGUGACCUUUGUGCUUGCUGAGGCAUCGUAGGCGACAGUCUGCUGGAGUCCGGGAAGCCAUCUGCAGCUAGAGGGACCCUGCAGCUAGGGGGACAAUGAGCUGUCUGUCUCCUCCUCUACCUCCAGCUCUCCCUUGAGGGUUUGCGUUGGCAGAAUCUAAGCAGGAAUUUCUGGGAAAUUUAGUUUCCAGAUGUUACAGCCCCUGUGAGUCAGGACACAGAAGGGGAAAGAGCUACCAUGGCCACGGGGCCCAAGUGAAAGACAUCAAUUAUUUUAGGGUGAUGUCAGAGAAAGUGGGUCGCAGUGGAAAUGGAGCUCGGCGAGGCCGAGUCUGGGUGGAAGGACUGUGGGGAAGCAACACCCCUGCAGACAGGAACUGUGAGACACGCUAGGCAGAGUGACAAGGAGGUUGAAAUGCCACAACCUUCGAGAGUGACAGAUGCUCUUUGUUUUAAAGAGCUCAGUAGCGUGUAUAUAGAAAAUAAAGGCACCGUGGAUGGGACAAGGGGACUGUAAGAACCUGUCCCCCACUCUUGCUGAUAGUUUGAAAGCAUUCUGUGAAAUAAAUAUUCUUCUUCCAGACUAGGCAAAAAUGAAAACGGUUAGCAUUUGGACCUCGGUGUUGGAACUGGAGGUUAGAAGGUAGAAAUGUGGGAGGGAGUUAGACCAGAAGUUGACGGAACUUGGCAAGGUGAGUAGCAGGAGGAAGGCAGGAGCAACCAGGACUCCACAGUCUGUGGGGUGCGUAGCAUUGUGAACGGGCACCAUGAAUUGAGACAUGGCCAUAAAAAAAGUCGGAGCAGUUCCCUUUGGGAUGUGUUCUGUGUUAGGAUGUGAAACUACAGACAUCAAUAAUCAAGACAGAGGUGGUGGUGUGUCGUGUCCCCCCCACCCGCUUCCUGCUGAACAUACAUGACACCUUUGCAUACAAAGGGAAGUAUAACUCUCUACGUGUGAGUUUGGCCACAGUCACAGAAAAGAACUGAUUGAUAUCUAUCAAAGAUAUUUCCCCAUCUUAUUCCCCGAUGGAGCUUGAUGCUUGAAAUCCAACACGUGGUACUUCAAACUCCUGGCUUUAAGUUAAGGCACCUUAAAGGUUUGUGCUGCCCAUCUACCUGUGGUGUGGCGUGCUGAGACUUGCUUUGUCACACGUACCCUGAAAACAAUCAGUGCAUAUACACACACUAGUGCUGCUAUAUGGCCAGAGCUCGCAGCAUGGCCUAUUACAUGAUUUUUCCAGAAAGAUGAUAACAGGCAUCACACCAGACAGGGCAUCAGUGUCAGGUCACAGAAAUUACUCUACUAAAUUCCAGCUUGAGGAACCAAGGAAUCUUUUGGGGUUAUAUACAGCAACGUAGCAAGGGGCUCCUUGAAAGAACCUGAGUGGCUUAAAAGCAGCUGUACCCCCCAAAAUGACCCACCAGAGCUUCGUCCCCGGGACUCCCCACCUAUCUCAAAGGUAACCCCUUAGAGAGUCUCGUCUUGAGCAACAAUUAAUUAUUGCUUAUAUAACCCAGAGUGGGGCCUGUCCUGUUAACUUCUGCUGUCAACCUGACAGCCCAGAGUCAUCUCAGAGAGGCUCCAUUGGGGAAUCAGAUCGAUCAAAUUGUCCUGUGGCCAUGUCUAUGAGGAAGUCUUUUAGUUGUGGAUUAUUGUCAGAGGGCACAGUCCCCUGUGGGUGGUGCCAUUCCUUAGCAGAUGGUUCUGGGCUAUCUAACAAAGCUGGCUGAGCAUGAGGGAGAGAGAGAGAGUAAACCAGCAUGCAGUGUUCCUCCAUGCAACUCUGCUCCAGAUUCCUGCCUCUCGAGAGGUCCUGCACCGGCUUCCCUCCGAGAUGAACUUCUACCUGGGAGUGUCUAUUGGAACAAACACUUCCCUCCCCAAGUUGUUUUUGGUCAUGGUGUUUAACAGAAUGACAUAAAGGAAGCUAGAGGAAGGCAUAUUCCUACUAAGUCUUGUAAGCUUCCUGGGCCUGCUAAAUUUUAUGGGUUUGUGAGUUUUGCUAGCUCCUUGUGUCUUAUGAGCUCCUGUCCUCUCUUAACUCUCCAGGAGGACAUGUUUCAGUUCGGGGGCAAUAGCUACACAGUAGUGCCCAUGAUGAGCCAGAGCUAGAAGAAUCACUGGCCCCUACAUAAAGCCCUGAUUGUCAGAGAGACAGGAGGUCUUCAUGAGUCUGGGGAAACUUGCUGUGACUUACUUUGUCCUCUGUCUUCAUAGGCUCCCUGCCUGCUCUAUCUAUUUUUUCUUCUAUUUCUUUAACAACUUGAUUGUUGAAACCCCAGGAAAUUCUAAGCCCAUUUCUCCCAUCAAAAUGAAAGGAACUUAUUGAUGAAAUCAUGAGUCCAUUAAGAUUGAGUGGUACAUCUCCAUUAGGGCCACGAUUUGCAUCAUAAAACAGAUUAACAUGAAAGGUGGAAGCACUCUUCUUGGAGAGGAAAUGCACAAAAGAAUCUUUUAGGGCCUUCCGAAUUAAAGCAGAAUAAACACUCCACCAGGCACAGAGAGAAGGCAAGGGACAGGGGGGAAGGUUUCGACAGAGCCAAGCAAGACUGAAGACCUGCAGCCACAUAAGUGGUGUGACUCAUAGCUUAGUUGUGGGUAGACAGCAGAAGCCAGGGAACAUUCGGAGCUGAAAGAAACACUCGUAUUAAACAUUCUGCUGGAGCAAGGGUUCCCACUGCAGUGUGCUUACAGAGCCCUGCUCUGAAGUAUGCCUGGGCCGGCCGUUCUCGCUACUUUAAUGGAGUUGCUGAGAACCACCCUCUUGCCCGGCUAAGAGCCUGUGGUUCUGAGUGGAUGAGAGUGCUGUUCUCCUCAACCUUCCUCAGAAUGUUGAGAGGACAGUUCUGUGACAAGAGCUUUGCCAUGUGGCCUCCCCAGGAAUCUAGAUUGUUCCGGAUGAUCAAAGGAUAAUGAAAUAAACCCUACAUUAAUAGAGCACAGGGUUCUGGGAGUGUGUUGGGGGGCGGGGAUGACGUCUUCUCUUGCCUAUCAAGCUGGUGCUGUUUGUGUGUGUAUCACUUGCUUAGCAGCAUCAAGACCUUUAGCUAAAAGGAGAGGCUGGCUUAAAGGAUUGGAGCACCCGGGGGAUUCGCUGUUUGAUGGAAACAGGUCAGAGAAAGGAGCAAGAGAAUGAUCGGCCGUCUUACUCUUCUGGUGGGGUCUCUUUGCUCAUGUGUGAGAGGCAGUUCAUGCCAGCUCACAGACAUCAAGCAGAAUUUCUUCCUAAUUCCCCCACUCAGUGACUUCAUAGGAGGUUGGCACUGGCUAGGAUAGGAAUGUUUACAUUGCCAGAAUUGGCAGAUGUCACAAACCAGGGUGUUUUUUUCUCCCCUACUGUGGUUGCCUUGUUUUCUCCCCUAGAAAAUUUAUCGUUAAAUAUUUAUCAGCAUUCUCCUGGAAUUUGAUUGAAAGAUAAUUUGGCCAUCAAAGCAGCCACACGGCCUUCUGAAACUCUGGCUGAAAGCUUUCUGAGCACAGCAAGGGUCAAACAAGUGACCGGGCGGAGCUCGGCGGAAUUUGGAAAAAGGGAAAGGAUUCUUGGAAUACACGCCUGUGUGACAUACUCACCCAUGAACACUCACCUGAGGGUCAGUGCUCACAGGGUGACAUGGUAGGCACCUCUCGAAAGUUGUAAAGGGACCUUUAGGAAUGUGGCCACGAGAUGGACACUACUUAGACAUGAUGUGGGCCUCUUUCUCAUUGGACCAGGGACUUCAGAUAAAGGAUAAGACCCAGGAGGCUGGGCCUCAGAAGGACCAAUUUACAGGGCAUUUUGAUAGUGAACCAAUUAACCUCUUCUACCUAUAGGGCUCAGACAAAAGAUAGUUGGGCUCAGGAUGCAUUCUGGGAGCACUGCCGCGUGUGGGUGGUAAUGAUGUGUCAGAAGUUCUUUUUCAGAUGGGCUAAGUAGACUCCAGUCCUAUAUGGAAUGUCCGAGGCUGUGUCAGAGAAACACAAAGGUCUCUUCUGCCUCCCUUCCUGGGUUCUAGGAUUCUUCUGAAAAGAACCCUAAUGCUAACUAGAAGGUAGAAGAGUGGAAGCCCAGACACAGAUUAAGGAGUACACAUAGGUUCGGCCACAAUGGAGAUCAGGGAGGGAGGAUCUUCAACAAACUAAGAAAGAACCAGUGUAUGGCCCACUACAGCGUGUCCAGGUUAUUUACCUGAGGGACCGUAAGCCAACCUAUCACCCUGUGAACACUGCUGUGAGUUCACAAUUAUGGCUGAGUUAUGUACGGAAGCAAGAGAAGCGUCCGUCAACAAAUGACAGGGUUAAAUGGAGUGUGUGUGUAUAACGAAACUUUAGUCAGCUCUAAGGAAGAGCAGAAUCAUGCUGUUUGUUGAAGAACGGGUGUGACAGAAACUAACUAUAUGAAAUAAGUCAGCAAGAUAAGUGUCACACAUUUUUAGUCCUUUUGCACAUCCUUGGGUACACACACACACACAACACACCCUCACACACACUAAGGAAAAAAAAACUGGCUUCGAAGGACAAAAGGAGGCUACGAAAGGAAACAUAUUUGUUCGACUUUGAGGAAGAAGCCGAUUUGUCUGAAGGAGUCUGGGGACAGCCCUGCCUUUGUCUGAUAAGCCCUCUCUGCAAGUCCCUGUAAGCCAUAUGUGUUUAAGAUGUAGAGGAUCAGCUCAGGGGAUCAGCGCACAGCCCUGGAAGCGUUAGCAUGCGCUUCCUACUUUAAGCAGCUGUCUGGCAAAAUGGUCUGUCACUGUCAUAGGGCAGCCGAGCAUGAGAGUGCUUUGACAGUGCGAGUCUGUCUCAAUCCUUCCACCCAAACUCAAAGGAACGUCUUCCCAAAGGCCGAGGGCAGCCAUUCUUUGCAGCGGGAGUAAGCUCGGCUGAUGGCUUAAUCUGGAAGCCAAUUGGCUUUCAAGGAGACAUAACUCACUCCAUAUUUAGAGAAACGUUUGGAGUCUAUUGGGACUGCUUCGGGAGGGGAUUUGAAAACUUUGAAAAGGAACCUGAUAUGAACACUGACCGACUGGAAGACCUUCUGUCUUUCACAAGUGGGCACGUACCUGGCAGCCCUUGCUGGCUUGGCUUCAACUCCUAGAUCCCGGAUCAUGGAAGCCCUGGAGGGUCUGGCAGUUGGUUCCGGAGUCAACAAGAAGCAGGCAGCCACCACCAACCUAGAAGUAUUAUCAUGGUUUAACAGCAAUCCAAGCAAUGUCUCUGCUCCUGAAAUGGAACCUGGGCCUUGUUGGACGACGUGGGACAAAGGAGAGAGGCAGGUCCACUGUGGGGUCUGUCUGUGUUUAUAUGGUUGGCAGAGCGCGCUUUGAUGUCACCCUGAUGACGUCUGUCAUCUUCCCCACACCUGCUAUGGCAUGGCUGCCUUCAGUCACAAGCCUGAUUCACAGCACACUCUAUGUUUAGCAGCGCUCUGAGAAGGAUUCCAGUCUGCCUUCAGCCCUAAAUAGCUACAAAUAUCAGAGUAGCAGCGGCAGCCCUUCAAAGGCCUUUUUGGGAAGUGUCAUGCCAGAGAUGGGGUGACACAGAGGAGCCCCAGAAAGAAGCAAGAUGUCACCUGGAAACUGGAGGGAAAAAGAAGAAAUGAACCAGCGUCGACUGCUAAGAAGGUGAAGAAAUGAACCAGCGUCGACUGCUAAGAAGGUGAAGAAAUGAACCAGCGUCGACUGCUAAGAAGGUGAUAAAGUUGACCAUCUGUUCCUCAGUUACUUAUAGCACGGUCAUCGUCUGGAAAGUUGGAGACAAUGACUAGAAGACAAUGAAGGGACGAAAUACAAGGUGUCUGGUGCAGACUGAUAUGGCCAGGCACGUAAUUAAUGCCUCUUUAAAAGUGAACAAAAGCAGAGCAAGAAGUAAAAAACAAAGCGAUUACGCAUCAGCUGCUGAAACACUGUGUCCUAGCUUAAACGAGGCUGGAAAAAUGCUUCCACAGAGAACAGGAUGCUUGAGGACUCUAGCCUUUUCCCGGAGGGGCUGUAAUGGCUCCAGCCUCGCAGACGGGCUGCGCAGCGGCGCCAGCGAGCUCUGCUGCCCCCUGCUGGACGGAACGCGGGACUCGCGCCAGCCAGUCUGCGAGGCUCCCGCUGGCUCCCUGGGGACCCAGCACUCCUCCAGCAGGUUAUGCAACACCAGCUCACUUCAGGAAAGGAAACCAUCGACUUCAUGGAGCUUCCAAUGAGCCAGUGUUAAGAGUAAGGCGGAGACUAGAAAAUAGCACGCAUGUGUCCAGCCUUGGAGGCGCGUGUGUAAGGGGAGUGGACUAACUGAAAGGAAGCAGUGUAAAGAUUAGCCGCAGGGUAUGGUCUUCUAGUGACGCCGCACCUCAUGACCAGCUACUGACAUGGUGGGCGGCAGUGCUUCAUUUCCGGAGUGCAGCCCCAUCUUCUAGCUCCUUCAAGGUUAUAGAUCUUCUAGCUGUGUGACCUUCAAGGUUUUAAACUCUGACUGUUGGUGAACCAUAUCCAGUGGGUUGGUCUUUCCUAACAAGACACACAGUGAAGGCUUUAUAGAGAGGCAUAUUAAGGUGGAGCAGGGCUAUUCCCUCCUUUUACUGUUCAGAAAUAAUAAACAUUUUGAUAUUUCCAGUAUUCGUCCGGAUCACCAUAUCUUUAGAGGAAUUUUUCUUCUAUUUGGACCGACCCUUUGGAGUUUUACCUUUUGGGGUUUUACUGAUGUGAAGGAGGGGUCGUGGUGGUGGUGGCCGUUCACUCUUGUCCAAUCUGGAUGUGGAUUAAUGGUGUUUUCCAGCCCAUAAAAUAUUUUAAAAUUUUUAUUUCACACGGGGUUAUGAAGCAUCGCUGCCUUUACGACAGCUCGACUGGAACUUUCAAAAUUAAAAAUGACAGGAACUGAAAGUUGUCAUAGAGAUUCCAAGGCACUACCAUUCUCUUAUUCUGUAGACGAUGUUCUGCGCUUUUCAACCAAGUAAGAAUAGAUCUCUGGAGAUGAGAAGAUGACCACCACGUGUCUUUUCCCAGUCUUUGGAUGGUACCUUUCACAUCCUGGAAGGGAGAAAGCUGAGUCACCACCACAGAGUCUGAACCUGAUUAUCAUAUUCAGUAGCCACUGCCAAGCAUACAUUAGCACCUCUCCCAGAACUACUCUCUGUCUGCACAGGGCACCUGGACACUCUGCUCAUGAGAAUGCAAUACCCAACAUGAGUCAAGAAAGCCCAAAGACGUCCACCCUGAUCUGGUGAUAGAUGACACCUGACCUCCUUAGCCAAUAUGCAGACUGAGACUGUAUCUGGCAGAGUUUCUGGCUGCAGAACCCUUGACCGUCAGAAGUGAAUGAAAGUUUGGUAAGCUGUGCUGGAGCACUGCCAGUGUGCGGUGCUGUGAGCCGCCCUCACAGGAUUUCAGGGAAGAACUGUGGGGAGGAGGCACUGAAUGCCUUAGAUGCAGCGGGGAGAAAACCCUUCCUCCUACACCCUUAAAACAGAGCGAAAGGAAACAAAAUAAUAAAACUAAUAACAAAAUAACAAAAUAAUACCCCCCCACAAGCUACACCCUUACUUUUCUGGUCUCACCUGCUGCUUUCCUUAGGAGAUAGUUUCAAUGGAAAAGAUUCUAAAGUUCAUGUGUUCGAAAGCUUCUUGACCUUGCAGUUGGCGAUGAUCUUUGGGGGGUUAUGGAACUGUGGCUGGGGUCACUGGGAGCCAGGUCUUUGGGGUCACAGCUCUGCCCUAUUUUUGGACCCAGUCUCUCUGUGUGUCAUCUGUCAAGAAGUGAGCAAGCUCUCCUACACUCCUUCUGCUCUGGUUCACCUCCACCAAUACCCGUACUCUCAACCCAGGGGUGAAAAUUCCUUUCUCCUUCAGUGUGCUUCUUCCUGGGCAUUUGGUAGCAGCAAUUUCAAAAGCUAAGCUACCUUACUAGUAUGAGCUUCAGUGGUUUACACCAGGUAGGUCGAGGGAAAGGUAAAACUUGGGAUUUGCUCAAAACAUGGCCACACACACACACACACCUGAUGCUCGACACACACAGCCAGGCACACCUGAUGCCAGAAAGGGUGAGGUGGGGAUGUCAGAAAGUCCUGGGAGGAACCCAGGCUGUGUUCUAGGCACAUAUCUAUAGCUCAUAGUUUGUGUGUUCUUGGAAGACACAGAAGUAUUAUAAACUCGUAAAUAGAAUUGCAUAAGACUGUACUCAUGACAUAAAUGAUUCCUCACACGAGCGAACCAAGAAAGCCCAAAGAUGUCUACCCUGAACUGCAGAUAAAACAUCAUCAGACCUCCUUAGUUAGACGCCGCUGACACACAUUCGGAGAUCUUAUCCGGCAGAGUUUCCAGGCGUACGGAAGGUGGAUUGAGUUCAGGAUGAAUGAACUAUUGAACAGUGGAGCUCAGGGAGUGGGCGAUGGAUUAGUGGACAAAAAUAGCCCUGGACACCUGUGUAAAUCCUUGGUGAUCUGAUCUACGCCAUAAAAACCAGACAGUGGGCAUCUGUAACUCAUAAUAAGUCCUUUCUAACAUCACUGAGGUUAUCUUAAAGAGCCUCUUGGUGCUCCCCUCCCCCAUAGCUUUAGAGUGGGGCCAGGCUGCUAACUGCGCCAACGCUGCAUUUGGAGGGCUGUGACUUGCAGCCUGACCUCCUGGAACUGAGUGGAGCAGCAAUCAACAAUGACUUUGUAAGCUGAUCCCUGCUACAGACCGUACAAAAUCCUCAACGGGGAGAGCUGCUUACCUACAGAGGUCACAGGAGCUCUGUGCUCACCACCCCUAAUGCCCGUGUUCCUUGAAGUUGGCUGUUCCUGAGUUGUAUCUUUUGAAGUGAACUGACAUUGAUUCCUUUGGAAACUUGGAUGGCAUCGUUUAAUCUGUGGAGUGGGAAAAAGGAGACGAAGGAAGGAAGAGGAGAGGAGACCAUAAACCUCGCUGAGAGCUCACUGGAUCCGGGAAGUUGCUAAUAAAAACCCAGGCGGGGAUGGCACCUGCAGACAACUCACUCUACCUAGCCGUCAGAGCUGGCCUGGAAGAACAAAGGCUUUCUGGGGAGCUGCAAAUCACACAUUGAUCUUGCCCGAGAGUAUCUUUCCUUAGCGAUGAGAAGCUGGAAUAAAACGAAGUGGAAUGAAAAGCGGCAAGCAGAGGCCCUGAAGACUCCCACAGAAAUCCUGGUUCUGCAGAUUUACCUGUGCCGUGGGACCCACCUGUGUGGGACGAGGCACUUCUUGUUGAGCGUUCUGCUGCUCCAGAGUGCUUCAGCAUUACGUGUGGAAAGCAGAGACUUGAGGAAAAAUCAGUCAAACGAGAGCAUUGCAUAACUCGGACCACUGGAAAAUCCAUUCCCCCUUUAGGCAUCCCAAUGAGGGCAGUAACAACUAAGCAUGUUCCGGCUGUCGUGCUUACUCUAAUGCUGGCACUGGGGAGGAGAGGAGGCAAGUGCAUCCUAGGAGUUUGCUAGCAAGUGAGCCAGCUUCACCCCCUCACGCCACUCCCGGUUGCUAGAAUAGGAGGGCCUCUCCCAGAAUACUCCACACAACAGAUGGUUGAUCUACACCAGGAAACACCCAAAGAAGAAGACCAAGGCCACCACAGGCGGCAACUUGCCUACUCACCAGGGUCCAAGGAAGACCUCCAUCCCAUGAGAAUAAGCAAUGCAGUGGGAUGUCUACAUCUUGGCAGUCAGUUCACGGCGAGCUAUGUUUCUCAAGCUAUUAAGAUACAUGAUGCUACCUGUACAUUUAAUCUCUAAUCAAGUAUGUAAUUUUUUUAUUGCCUAGGGUAUGUCUAUGCAGUUGAAAGCAAAAACCUGUGUUCUAUCUUUAAAGAAAAAAUAAAACAACAACAAUAACAACCACAACACCCCUGUAAAAUCAAGAGAGAGGGAGCAAGAAGUUGGGUGGGUGGUGAGGUGGGGGAGAAUCGGGGAACAAUGGAGGAGGAAAACAAUAUAAUCAAAACAUACUGUAUGGAAAUUAAAUGUCCACCCUGCUCCUUGUGAAGUUUGCUUCCUUCACAGUGAUGUGAAGGGAACAGUGAUAUGCUUCCCCAAGGGGCACGAAGGAGAGGUGCUCUGAGAAAGUGACAUAAACAGGGAAGAUUUUUCUUCUUUGUAGAGAAGGGCGUUAGAGUACAGCAUUGUGAGAUUGCUCAGUGUGUGCACAGAGUACAGCAUUGUGAGGUUACUCAGUGUGUGCACAGAGUACUGCAUCAUCAGAUUACUCAGUGUGUGCACAGAGUACUGCAUUGUGAGAUUACUCAGUGUGUGCACAGAGUACUGCAUUGUGAGAUUACUCAGUGUGUGCACAGAGUACAGCAUUGUGAGAUUACUCAGUGUGUGCACAGAGUACAGCAUUGUGAGAUUACUCAGUGUGAGCACAGAGUACUGCAUUGUGAGAUUACUCAGUGUGAGCACAGAGUACUGCAUCAUCAGAUUACUCAGUGUGAGCACAGAGUACUGCAUCAUCAGAUUACUCAGUGUGUGCACAGAGUACUGCAUUGUGAGAUUACUCAGUGUGUGCACAGAGUACUGCAUUGUGAGAUUACUCAGUGUGUGCACAGAGUACUGCAUCAUCAGAUUACUCAGUGUGUGCACAGAGUACUGCAUCAUCAGAUUACUCAGUGUGAGCACAGAGUACUGCACUGUGAGAUUACUCAGUGUGUGCACAGAGUACUGCAUUGUGAGAUUACUCAGUGUGAGCACAGAGUACUGCAUUGUGAGAUUACUCAGUGUGUGCACAGAGUACAGCAUUGUGAGAUUGCUCAGUGUGUGCACAGAGUACUGCACUGUCAGAUUGUUCAGUGUGUGUCAAACCAGCUUUAGCAGCACUGAGAGAGAACUGACUUCAUUAACACUGGAGAUCUUGGAGACAGAUCAAGUACUCCUAUGCAGGGCAACACAAGGCACUGCAUUGAAGGAAGUCUUCCAAGAGCAGAGAAAUUCUCUCCUGGACACUACUUCCACAGAAUUUUCAGAUAGUUCCAUUUAACUUCCAAGUUCGUUGAUCAACUGUCAUGGGGAGAAGGGAUAGACGUCACGGAGCAUUGUGUCAUUAACAUUCGUUGCUGAAGAAGACUGGGAAGCAAUUCUAAAUUUGCAGCAGCCACGAGGUCCAUGGGCAGAGGUGGACAGAAGUGAGGACUGUCCAAAUGGUGGACUGCUUUGAGCAAGUGAAUGAGUCGUUGCAACUCCACAACUGGGUACGAUAAAAACGCUUCCAUAAACAAUGUAAAAUCAACUGGGUAAGGCGUAAUCCCAUUUAUUUACAGUUCAAAAAUAAACAAAGCGAGUCGCUGACAUCUGAAGUGAGAAGAGAUACCCGCCAUGGGCGAGCUUAGUGAAGAUUCAGCUUCAGGCGUUAGGGAUGGUUUCGUCCCUGAUGGGUUGUUGGUUACGAGCACAUGUUUGUUCUCCACGAGCAUACAUUUUAUUUCUGAGUCGUGUAUAUUUUUUUCUUCAUCCUGAAUCAGCAAAACAGUUACAAGCAAGCAAUGUCAACAUAGUUUCUUUUGCAUGUAUUAAAGUUUGGACCGUUCAGUCAAUCGUUUAAAGGACUAGGUAUGUGGGAGGAAGUGGCCCACAAAGGCUGAAGAGUUAAGUAUUUAAAGACUCAGAAUUACUUGAGAUAGUGAAAAAACGUUAGAGAGAAAAAUUUGAGCUUGGCUUCGUAGUCUAAAUUUCUUUGUCAGUAAAAACCUUCAUUUGUGGUAAAAUUUGGGCAGGGGAGUAAUGGUAUUUGAUAAGGGGUGGGGAAGAAUGUGAACUCAAAAUUAUAACCCAUUUUCUUUCUUUUUAACAUUUUCAGGUCAACACCAAACGUUUAGGUUCUGUGUGAUCAAAAUAGAAGGUCUUCACGUAUAUGGACCUGUCCUCCGCUAAGAUGUAAUUAUCAGUUGAUCAGGUUGAAAGACGGCUGAGUAGAUCCGGCACUAACAACAGAAUCAUCACACCAUGGAGAAACAAAUGUUCUAACAAUGUUCAUAACUCUACACGAUCCUUUCCUUUUUCACCACAAUCUAUGCUUCCCCAUCUGGCAGACAAGUAUGGAUCCCUUUCAACAUGGUAGGUAACAUUCCAGAUUGGAUAAUAAAAGUCUCUGUGGGAGAA
rnacentral:sRNA from 1 species